rnacentral:misc_RNA from 1 species
CAGAGUUGCAAAACUCCCUAAACCAUUGUGAACGUUACCUAAACCGUUGCUUCGGCGGGCGGCCCCGGGGUUCUCCCCGGGCGCCCCUGGGCCCCACCGCGGGCGCCCGCCGGAGGUCACCAAACUCUUGAUAAUUUAUGGCCUCUCUGAGUCUUCUGUACUGAAUAAGUCA